UACGAAGGGUGCAAGCGUUAAUCGGAAUUACUGGGCGUAAAGCGUGCGUAGGUGGUCUUUUAAGUCCGUUGUGAAAGCCCUGGGCUCAACCUGGGAAUGGCAGUGGAUACUGGAAGGCUGGAGUACGGUAGAGGAGGGUGGAAUUCCCGGUGUAGCGGUGAAAUGCGUAGAGAUCGGGAGGAACAUCAGUGGCGAAGGCGGCCCUCUGGACCAGUACCGACGCUGAGGCACGAAAGCGUGGGGAGCGAACAGG
rnacentral:rRNA from 1 species